rnacentral:misc_RNA from 1 species
CUGGGGGAAAUCAAACAAUGAUGUUGAAAGGGAAUCAUGGUAAGAGGAGGUUACACAUAUUCAUAGAUACAGGAAGUACCCAUAAUUUCCUUAGGGAGAGUUUGGUGAAGCAAUUACGGUGCGCUGUUACUAAAGUUUCUAGUAUUUGGGUGGAGAUAGCAAAUGGGAAUGAGUUGAAAUGUGAAGUAGUGUGCAAGGAUUUCCAGUGGACUAUGCAGAACCAAAAGUUUGCAGCUGAUGUUUAUAUAUUACCAUUGGAAAGUUAUGAUCUUAUUUUGGGAAUUCAAUGGUUAAGGGCACUUAGUGAUAUCAAGUGGAAUUUUUUUGAACUAACCAUGGAUUUUAAAUUGCAGGGAUCAAACCAUUCUUUGAAACGAGAGCAUUUUCUUAUGUCUAAUGAAAGUCUUCAUGCUUUUCGUGUGCAUCAUUUUAAUUGGCCUUUCUUACAACAGGAGGAAAAGGGGGCGUGUUUUUCUCAAUUGUAUAAUGUUUAGGUUCCACAAUACAAGUGGAAAGAGUUAUCAGACUUGUUGCAGCAAUAUUCUGAUAUUUUUCAAGAACCCCAGGGCCUUCCACCACAAAGGUCACAUGAUCACAGGAUAUUACUUAAGCCAGGAUCACAACCAGUCAAUAGUAAUCCUCAUUGAUAUGCUUUUGAACACAAAUCUGCUAUAGAAAAGAUGAUUAGAGAUAUGUUGAAGUCUAG